rnacentral:rRNA from 1 species
AACGAACGCUGGCGGCAUGCCUAACACAUGCCAGUCGAACGAGACCUUCGGGUCUAGUGGCGCACGGGUGCGUAACGCGUGGGAACCUGCCCUUAGGUUCGGAAUAACUCCCCGAAAGGGGUGCUAAUACCGGAUAAUGUCUUCGGACCAAAGAUUUAUCGCCUUUGGAUGGGCCCGCGUUGGAUUAGCUAGUUGGUAGGGUAAAAGCCUACCAAGGCGACGAUCCAUAGCUGGUCUGAGAGGAUGAUCAGCCACACUGGGACUGAGACACGGCCCAGACUCCUACGGGAGGCAGCAGUGGGGAAUAUUGGACAAUGGGCGAAAGCAUGAUCCAGCAAUGCCGCGUGAGUGAUGAAGGCCUUAGGGUUGUAAAGCUCUUUUACCCGGGAUGAUAAUGACAGUACCGGGAGAAUAAGCUCCGGCUAACUCCGUG